UACGUAGGGUGCGAGCGUUGUCCGGAAUUAUUGGGCGUAAAGAGCUCGUAGGCGGUUUGUCGCGUCGGCCGUGAAAACCUGCAGCUUAACUGUGGGCGUGCGGUCGAUACGGGCAUCACUGGAGUUCGGCAGGGGAGACUGGAAUUCCUGGUGUAGCGGUGAAAUGCGUAGAUAUCAGGAGGAACACCGAUGGCGAAGGCAGGUCUCUGGGCCACUACUGACGCUGAGAAGCGAAAGCAUGGGGAGCGAACAGG
rnacentral:rRNA from 1 species